rnacentral:tRNA from 1 species
UGCAAAACGUGACGUACACACUUUAAUCUUUGAAAUUAAACUUUAAGGCUCAUUACCUUAUUUUGCAA